rnacentral:tRNA from 1 species
GGCUCAGUGGCUCAGUGCUUACACGUUAGGCUUGAAACCAAGGGGUCCCGGGUUCGAUUCCCUGGCUAGGGCA